rnacentral:rRNA from 1 species
UACAGAGGUCUCAACCGUUGUUCGGAUUCAUUGGGCGUAAAGGGCGCGUAGGCGGUCGUGACAAGUCACUUGUGAAAUCUCCGGGCUUAACUCGGAACGGUCAAGUGAUACUGUCGGACUAGAGGUACAGAAGGGGCAACUGGAAUUCUCGGAUGUAGCGGUGAAAUGCGUAGAUAUCGAGAGGGAACACCUGGCGGCGAAGGCGGGUUGCUGGGCGUGAUAACUGACCGGCUGAGGCGCGGAAAGCCCAGGGGAGCGAACGGG